UCAAUUUGUUGGCAUUUACACUGGCAUUUUCAAUUUUCCCCGUCAAAUUUGAAAGGGACAUUUUCCAUGAAAAUUACAGAAAAUUGUGGGGCAAUGCAUAUGUAUGUUGCAAAGAACUCUUUACAAGUAAGUAGUAGGAUACUUUUCCUCCGCCCUACAAAUUCAAGUAAUGCUUGUGGAGACGAGUCUCCCGCAUGUAGAUUUCUUGUUCCCGACUUAACUCCCCUGCGUAUAUUCUUCUUUAUGUCGUUGCUUCUGUCUGAUUACAUCAUUUUGCAUAUACUUUGAAACAAAAAAACGUUUCAAACGAAAAAAGUAAUUCAAGUUCAUCCAUUUAAUCUUGAGGAAAUCGUGAUAACUCACGAACUUUAUACAUCGCGAUGUUUGCAUUCAUAAAGUUAGGAAAAUUGAACCUAUACAUGUACGAUUAUUUGCUUCGGUGCAAACAUAAAGUGAAACUAAUAUAACGAAGUGUGAUUUUUUUUUUAAGAGUGCGUUUGGGCGGAAAUUUAGGGCAAAAAUCUUUAGUAUAUGAAUCCCAUAAUAUGGUUUGAAACUGCAGCUAAUGAAUUGUUACGUAAAAAGUAAGGCGAGUGGAAUUACAGAUUACUGCAAAUGAAGGAAUGGUAGAAUAACAUGGAUGAAUAAUCACCUUUCGAAGAUGGAACGCUUAAACUGACUGAAGGUUUCAAGGACUAUUAUCCCAAUUUUCAGAGCCGCGAGAAUCGUCGAUUGGCAUAACGAUCACGACGAUUUACAAUGGAUGUGGGCCAUGGGAUUGCCUUAACUAAUACCUUUCAUUUGUCGCUCAACACGCUCAGAACCGUUCCAUUUGUCGAUUGCCCGCACUUUAGUCGACAAUAUCCGCCUCAUUCCGGGGUCAUUGUAAUGUACACACAAACUAGGCAAGAAAAUAUCAAUACGAAACGUCAAAUUGCUGAUGACGUCACUUGGAUCGAUAUAAUGGGUUGUAAAAUAUAAUUAACUAUUCUAAUGGAAAGUUAUGAAUUAAAAUUUGCCGGUAACAUCUCUAUCUAUGAAUAAAGUCCAUAGGUAUGAAAAUCGGUAGAAAAGUCUCAGAGAUAUUCCAUAUUGAAAUUCCAAUUUGGCAAAAUUUGUUAAUACUACGACCAAAAAUGAAGUUAUAACUAAAAUUUCGAUUUACUAAUCGGAUGUUGUAUUCAAUUACGAACAACCGAGGACCUCAAUUUCAGAAA